rnacentral:rRNA from 1 species
UACAGAGGUCCCAAGCGUUGUUCGGAUUUACUGGGCGUAAAGGGUGCGUAGGUGGCGGGGUAAGUCUGGUGUGAAAUCUCCGAGCUCAACUCGGAAAAGCAUUGGAAACUAUCCCGCUAGAGGGUCGGAGGGGAGACUGGAAUUCUCGGUGUAGCAGUGAAAUGCGUAGAUAUCGAGAGGAACACCAGUGGCGAAGGCGAGCCUCUGGACGACUCCUGACACUGAGGCACGAAAGCUAGGGGAGCAAACAGG